CGAAGAAAAGUUAAGUAUCGUAGCCCCAUUUCACUUUAGCUGCAGUAUUUUAUCGGUUCAUUUUUAUGCUUCAGUCUUUUAUUUGGUCGUUGGACCAUUUAAAUUUAUUUUAAUAGUUCAUCAAAAAUAGGUUAGCAUGCCCACCACCGAAUCCUUAUGUAUCUUCGUCUCUUUCGUAGAGAUUCCAAGCUGCCGUCGAAUGUUUGUAACCGAUGAAGUUAGUUUAAUGCUCCACUCCCGUCGAUUAAUUGAUAGAGAAGACGGCUUAGCUCAUCUUAUCGUCUCGCUAUCAACUUAGAGAGCAUGGAAGGAUCCUUGGUGCUUGCUUUGAUGCUGGGCGAGACAUCAUUCCUGUUGUACAUGAACAGACUACAAGAAUCUUGAUGCGACUUGCAUACGUGACUACAUAGAUGUGACAUACUUCGUUGAUGCUCGCUCAUGUUAAAGAUCUUGAAAAGGCUAAGCUUCACAAAAUUGGAAUCUUCAAUGUUGGGACCAGGAAAGUUCCUGUAUAUAUGCAAAUAGAUUCUCCACUAAAUGAAAAAAUAAGCGAAUGAAUUUUAGAGAAAGUAUGUGCUUUGUUUCUAUGUGAGCAGGUAGGUCGGUGAAGGAGAUUGUGGAAGCCUGAAAGAACAGCGGUCAAUUACUUGGAAAGAAGGGCAUGAGAUUCGCAGAGGUGUACAUCGAUGCAAGCAAGAUCAGAGUGGACAGCUAAGCAUACAAAUCUUAAAGAGAUUUUGGAGACUGCAUGGUGAUGGCAAAAUCUUCAUCCCAAUGGCUAUGAAUCUUCUUCCUUUAUCUCUGCAUACUAGCCUUUCUCUGUAUUAGUAUGUGAUGAUUGCUCUUCUAGGACUCUUUCACAAGUAGAUACUAGCUAGAGAUUAGAGUCUUGAUUCUAGAUGGUAGUGAAGGGAGUAGAAGAGAUAGUUGAAAAAAACAGUUAACAAUUGGAAACCUAAGGAGUGUGUUUGCUGACGUGUCUCCGUUAAGAGAGCUAGAAUGACUCAUAAGGUGUUCAAAGAAUACUAUUGAAAGAAGCAUAAACUUAGACAAAGUUCCUACGAGUACAUUCACCUCAAGAUUGGAAAAAGUUAUAUCUAUAUUCACAACUGUACUAUUGCAGCAUUUGUUUAAUAUAUGAGUCUUUAACUAUAGAGAUGUUUUGAUGUGUUUCCUUUACUUCUCUUGCUUAAAUUCCAACGCACUGACCAGAUUCGUUUUUUCCUUGCAGAGGUCCAUGAAAGUUUAUUAGACCACUAGGACGUUCAAAGUGCGAUCUAUCUUCUAAAUCUUCUGAUACAACUUUCUAUUAAAUUAAAUAUAUUUUCUUAAAUAACCAACCCAAAAUAAAUUGACACAUGUCAAUUAAAAUAUCUUAUGAGAUUUCAAAAGUUAUGAGAACUUUUCUAAUUGUUUCUCUCCUGCUUUUUUUUUUAAUGUUUAGAUAUUCAUAUAUAUCUUACCAUUAGACUUGCUCUAAGA